UUUCUAGUAACAGACGGUCAAAAUAAAAAUUGACUUGAUCACACCUAAUUGCCAUAGCCACCAUCACUUCCAACAACGUUAAGAACCAAACGACACCACCUCACCACGAUCACAUGUACCACAAGCAACAAAAUCAUUCCUGUCCACACAAAAUGAUUUCAACUUAUUUAUUAAUGUAACAAUUUGUCUCUCUUACUUGAGAACAAACCCAUAAACAAAAUUAUUUCAACUCAUCUAUAAACAAAAUUCCUGUUUGUCUCCUUUUUUUUCAAUUUUUUCCUCAAAUUAUUGAUCCCCAGUGCGAAUCACAACGAUAGCAGCCACAUCGAUAAAAGGCCCAAUUACUACACAACAACCGCCAUCUCUAGCCGUACAAACACCAUCAUCACCACCCACAAACAACCACCGACCAUUAAAUCGCCGCUGCACGAAAUCACCACCAAUUGCUACAACAGCCAAUUAAGAACCUCAAGCAAAAUUGAAUUCCCAGCCUCACGUAAACUACUAAUAGAACUUACCAGAAAUGCUAACUUGAUUAAUAUAAGUUAAACAUACCAUAAAUUUGGAGUGCCCAGAAAAUACAUAUUUAUCUCUUUGGUCAACAUUGUCGAACAAUAUGUAAAUGAGGAUCCUAUUGCCAUACAUUGAACGUCGACCUUAAAACUUGUUUGUUAACCGAUGACUUCAUUAAUGUUUUGCUAGAAUGAAAUAUUCUACACAUUUUUUCAUCUAGUAAACACCAACUUAUAAAUAAUCCCUAUAAUUAAUAGCAAUAACUUUGCUAUUGGUGGUGGAGAGGGACUGUCAGUGGCGGCUCUUCCAGUUCUCUCCUCCAUACCUCUCUUGAUUUUCCAUCUCCCCCAAAACCUUAUGUUAGACACUCCCACCAACAUCACUACAAUUGACAUCACCAUCGAUACCAUCACCACGGCACCAACAACCACCACCACCAACAAAAAUACACCAAAACCCACCAACCACCACCCCAAGAUAUCACCCCCAAAGUAAAUCGAUUGUCGGAGUUUUUUUUUUCCCUUUUGAAGCCCCAUAACAACUGCGAUUGCCGUAGUAAAUUUUCUUCUUGCUUUUGUCGUCGGAACCAGCUGUUUUUGAAGUUUAUUCUGUGAUGGAGAGAGAAAUGGUGAGAUGUGAUUUAUGUGAUAAAGGGAGAGAAAUGGUGAGACGUGGGUUUAAUAAAUGUUAAUUAAAUAUUUAACCCCUGAUUUGUGAAAAG
rnacentral:lncRNA from 1 species